CUGGUAUUGAUAUGUAAAAUAAUAUUGUUUCUAAUUUAAAUAAAUAUGUUUUAAAAAUCAAAAUUUCUACACAAGGACCACAUAUAUAAUGAAGAUGGCAUGCAGCAUUGUAGAAAGUUAAAGGAAUAGUCUGAAGGCAGGUAUAGUAACUUAAACAUGCUUAUUCUGUAUGACAUAACCACAAGAUUAUAUCCUAGAAGACACUAUAUUAUGUUAUGUUAUAUUAUAUUAUAUUAUAUUAUAUUAUAUUAUAUCAGUUAACAGAAAUACUUUUAGGUACACCAGUAUCUUUCAGAAGUGGUGUUUCGGCUAUUCUCAGAAUCAAGUGUUAAAAAUAUAUAUUUUGGGUGGUUCCACAAUAUUUAGAUAUAAAUGAGUGAUAAAAUUCUGACUUUAUGGAGGUGAGGUAUCAGCAGUUACCAUUUAAGAUCAAGGUGAAUCUAAUCAUCAUAGAAGACAAAGGGAAUUCAUAACACACUGCAAAUUUGGCAUGCCAGAGUCUAAAGAAGUCAUAAACUAUGGUACUUUCAGGAAAGUUUCAAUGAACAAUUAAUAAGUCAGAAGCUUGUGAUGAAAGAUAUAGUGUUUACUGUCAUAGAUAUAAUUCAUUAAUCCUUUACCAGAUCUGAGUCCCAAAGACCCAUAAUCAUUAAGAAGUAUUCUGUGACUCCUAACACAGGUCUACCACUGUGAACAAUAAUAUAUAACAUUUCUCACAUUCUUCCUUAAAAGAGAGUAUACUCCUAGAGUAGAAAAACAACAUAGAUGAAAGUGAAUAUUUAGAUAUUUUGAAGGAUCCUAGAAUGUAUAUUUCUCCUUCAGUCAUAAGUAUGAAAAGCCACUGUGGACUCACUGUCAGAGUACAAGAUUCUAGAUCAUAGACUAUUGGUGCAGGCUUGACUUACACUGAUCUUUAUGAAAGCCUAAGGCUACCAUGGAAACAACCUAGAAAAAAGAGAAAAUGUUAAAAUGUUUGCUCACGCACCAAACAUACCUGAAAACAUGUUCAGGGCCCAGUUAGACAUAAGAAGCAUAUACCCCUGUGCUUUAUGGUAAAUACUCAAUGCAUGGCUGACUUCAUUCUUCCCACAAUGAGGCUAUAACAUUCAUAUUAUAUUCACAAGCCUUGACACUUCAUAAACUGCAACUGGUGUCUUGAAUUCUUUAUAUAUUUUGAAAAUGAGCCCUCUGUCACGUGUGGGGUUGGUGCAGAUCCUUUCCUAUUUUGAUGCCUGCCACUUUUUAUUGAUGGUGGCCUUUGUCUUAAAGAAACUCUUCAUUUUUAUGAGGACCCAUUUAUCAAUUUUAGAUCUUAUUACCUGUGCUAUUGGUAUUCUCGUCAGGAAGUUGUCUCCUGUGCCAAUCCAUUCAAGGCUACUUUCCAGUUUCUCUUCUGUCAGGUUCAGUGUAUCUGGAUUUAUGUUGAGGCCAUUGAUUUACUUGACUUGAGUUUUGUUCAUGGUGAUACACAUGGAUCUAUUUGCAUCAUUUAGCAUGUGUAUAUCCAGUUAAACCAGUGCCAAUUUUUGAACAUGAUUUCUUUUGUAUUGUAUAAUUUUGGAUUCUUUGUCAAAAACAGCUACCUAUAGGUGUGUGGAUUUAUGUCUAGGUCUUUGAUUCAUUUUCAUGAACCUAUCUGUCUGUUUUUUUGCUAAUACUGUGCAGUUUUUAUUUCUAAAUCUCUGUAGAGUUGCUUGAAAUCAUUGAUGGUUCUACCUCUCAAAGUUCUUUUAUUGUACAGGAUAAUUUUAGGAGGAAACUAGAUAUAAACAAACCAAAUAAUCCAGUUUUAAAAUGGGGUACAAAUUUAAACAGAAUUCUCAAGCAUCUCAAAUGCCCUAUAAACAUUUAAGGAAAUGCUCAACAUCCUUAGCCAUUAGUAAAGUGCAAAUCAAAAUGAUGAGAUUUUCAUCUUAUAUCUAUCAGAAUGGCUAAGAUCAAAAACAUAAGUGACAUCUCAUGCUAGGGAGGAUGUGGAUCAAGGGGGACUCUCCUCCAUUGCUGGUGGGAGUACAAAUUUGAACAGUAACUUUGGAAGUCACUGUAGUGGUUUCUCAGAAAACUGGGAAUUAUUUUACUACAAGACCCAGAUAUACCAUCCUUGGGGCAUAUACACAAAGGAUGCUCAAUCAUGCCACAAGAACAUUUGUUCAACUAAGUUCAUAGCAGCUUAAUUCAUAAUAGCUAGAACCUAGAUAUCACAUAACCAAGGAAUGGAUAAAAAUGGGCUACAUUUACACAAUAGAGUAUUUCCCAACAGUUAAAAACAAGGACAGCAGAACAUCUUUAAGCCAAUGGAUAGAACAAGAAAAAAAUCAUUCUGAAUGAGGUAACUGAGACCAAGAAAGUCAAACAUAAUAUGUACUCAUUCAUAAAUGGAUAUUAGCUGUAAAAUAAAGUAUAACUAUGCUACAAUCCAUAGACCCAGAAAAACUAUGUAAUAAGGUUGUUUCAUGGGGGGAUGUCCAUAUCACCACAGAAUGGGGAAAUAGAAUGUAUUUCAUCAGUGGGGUGAGGGCAGGUGAUUAUGGGAACAUGAGCAAGCUGAUUAAGGGAAAAUGGAGCAGGAGAGUAAAGAAUGAGACUACUGGAAAGGGGGAUCACUUAGGGUGAGGUAAGAAACCUGGAGUAAGGGAAUGCCCAUGAAUCAAAGGUAGUUUCCUAACAUGAGUUCAUACAUUACCACAAGAGUCAAAAUGAAAUCUCCAUAGUCAGAUUAUUGGAGCCCAAAUACAGGACCCUCCUACAGUAGAUUCAUUGUUCCUCAUACAUCUGUAUAUUGUUCAAUGUGGACACUAGAAUGUUUCAGACAAAAAUCACCCUAAUUGAAAGUUUUGGGAACUAAAGUACAUUCUGUGAUUUCUAGUACUCAGCAUCACAGGGUCUUGUUUAACCUCUCAUCUUAUGUUGAGGGCAAACAAGCCACAUAGUAUUGAUGGUACUGAAGGCUUCCCAGCUGGAGUUAUCUGAGAAGUUUUCCAACAGAUUCAAUGGCUUAAAUAUUAAAACAAAACAAGAUAAUGUUUUUACAGAUGAUUCUUUAGGCAUCAAUAACUUCCAUAAUUGGUAUGCAGAAGAAAAACAAGUUAGUUUUAGUAUAUGCAUCUCACUGAUACAUUUGUUACACUAACAAAAUAUCUUAUUCAAAUCUUAUUAAAGAAUUAUCUAUUUUUGAGGACAAAUAAAUAUGCCCAAUGGAAUUAAUGUACCAAUAGAGAAAACAACAAUCAAUAAACCAUAUGAAUUCUCAUAAAGACAUAUGCACCCAUAUAUGAGCACAUGUACUUAUCAUCUAUGUGUCCAUCUGCCUGUCUAUCUAUCUAUAUCUAUAUGUCCUUUCACUAUAUUUCUUUGUGUAUGCAUGCUUCCCUUUUCAGAUUUCAUCUUUAAGCUUUAUUUUUUAUGGAAAAUUUCAAGGGUUGACAUUUAGACAGAAUGUAAAGAGGUAUUAUUAACUAAGUAGAGGAGAUAGUUAUAAAUAGAGCUUUAAAUGUUGAUUGGAUUUUGUGGAGUUAAUGAAUACCAAGUUAACAAAUAAUAGUAAUACUGAUUGGAUUAAAGAACUAGAAAUGAGAGGUGGAGGGAAUGAAUAUAGAGGAGGGAUAAGAAUAUGCAAGAUCUUAGAACAACUGCAAUAUUUUCUAUUUUCUGUUAUUUUAAUUGAAAUUCAUUGGCUGUACUGAUAUGGCAAGUACUAAACCAACCUGGUUUGAAAUUUCAGAUUGAUGUUUUCAUUAUGUGUAGAGAUUAAGAUGUUAGCAAACAGCGAAGAGAGAGACUGGUGAAGUACACUUUUGUGAUGGGGCUAUCCAAUGGCAUCAGAAUGAAAUGCUGAGACAUUUGUGCAAUAAAAACAGUUCAUAAUUAUUUUUUAUUCUACACUAUACAUGUAUAUAAGUUACAACAAUAUUUCUUAAUGUCUACUCAAUAUAAUCUCAUACAAAUCUAUGAGUUCCAAUGCUUCAUUUAAAUAACAGAAAGUGAGAUUCUAAAAGGAACAACUAAAAGCAGUCACUAGUGGCCAUAACAUAACAGAGAAAAUAAAAGUCUACAAUUAAAAAUGUUGAAUUCCAAUAACAGGAAGAUAUUUCCAUCUUCAGGAAAAUAUCUUAACCUUUAAACAUUGUCAAAUUUCUAAAGUCAUAAGCCAUAUUUCAAAGUAUGGGCUAACAAGAAGGCAAUGUUAGAAUCAUUUCCAAACAAUGACAAAGCACAAAAUCGCAUGUGAUAUAUGGUUUUUCUUUAAAUAUUUUCAAUGAAGAUGGCUAACGUGGAGGGAAUUAGCCAGUCUGAAAUACAAUUUACAGAUAUUGAAUAAUCAUUCUCUCCUUGUAGAUGAUAUAUCUCACUGUAUCCUGCCAGCCAUUAAUCACUUUUAUGGAAUUACAAUUUGGUUUCCACUAACUGUGAUUUACUUAGUGUGGGUUGAUUUAUGUCAUGGAGAAUUUGUUUAGUUAAUGGAACAUUUUAAUUUAUGACAGAAGGAAGCUUUGGAUAUCUCAAUUGCAUUACUAUUGACUGUCAUUCAAAAUUUUCAAUGAGAUGAACAGAGAUAGAAGCAUGUUGUUUCAGUUACACCUAGUACUGGUAGAGCACAGGUUGGGAACUAAAACCAUGAGAAAACAGCUCCAUUUAUAUUUGCUUUUCACAACUUUGAACUUACUAUUGCACUUAUUACUGACAUAUGGUCUUGUCUGUUAAGUCUUUCAGCGAAGGCUUACUGGAAACCAGUGAGAGAUUUCAUAAUGUAGUGUCAUCAGAAUGCUGUUGGCAUCCAGCCCUGGGUCUCCUUUCAUCUGUCCAGAUGGUUCAGAUCCUGUACUCAUUCAGUGUUUUUCAGAGAUAAAGAAUAAAACACUGUCACUACUGGUCUACAGUGCUGAUUUCAGCACAACAUUUGUGGUUCAAGAAGGCCAGCAACAAAUCCUCAUACAACUGGAGAGAAACUGUCAUUAUAUAAAUAGUUCCUUCUGGAGAUAGAAACAUGAAACCUGGAAUAAAAACAAGUUUAGAAGCUCAAAGGAAAUUGGGAUAGAUGCCUGAAUAGACUUCAUUUGGAAGAUUUGACAUCCACAUUUGAAGAAGACAAUUGUGCUGCAACAGGAGCAAGAUGCUUAAGCCUCACAUCUAAAGCAUAAACAGGAAACCAUGGUGGAGAACAGAAUGUAGGCAAAGUUUUUUGAAAUAUAAAAGUCUUCUCCCAGGCAUGUGCUUCCUCCAUUAGGCACCACCACCUUAAUGUCUCCAAAAUAUGCCACCAUCUGGGGAUGGGGAAUGUCCUUUUGUAGAUAUGUUUUUCUUAUUUGUUGAUGAUAAAACACUGUUUGGCCAAUAGCCAGGCAAGAAGCAUAGGCAGAGCUACCAAACAAGAAGAAGGUUGGGGAGAGGAAGGCAGAGAGAGGCAGAGAAGAGAUGCCAUGCUUCUAAAGGAGUAACAUGCUGGAUUACUGGCAAGCCACAGCCUCCUGGCAAUGUAUAGAUUCACAUAAAUAGAUUAGUACUUAAGACAGAGCUAGCCAAUAAUAAACCUAAUCCAUUGGCUAACAGUUUAAUAAUCAAUAUGUCUCUGUGUGCUUAUCUGGGGCUAAAGCAUGGAGCAGGGCUUGGGGCACCUGGCGGGACAGAAUCCUCCAUCUUCAAAAUAGGGACCAAGUCUUCAAAUGCUACAUUGUAGGUUAUACUUGUGAUUCAAGUGAGCAAAGAGAGUAAAGGAUAUUUUGUGCUAGAAAAUCUUAAUAUUGUGUCUCAGAAUUUGUUGGAUGAAUAUAAAUCACUGCUUAGAGGGCAAAAUAGUUUUAAAUACACUAUUUACAAAUGAAUUAUAACAUAAAAGUUGAGGAAAGAGAAAUAAAGAACAUAACAAUACAUAUAUAUAUACAUACAUACAUCAUACAUACAUAUAUAUAUAUAUGUAUAUAUAUAUAUAUGUGAGAUAAAACACUAAAAAUGCCUCUUAGAAAAAUGAUGCAACUAUUAUAAGAGUGACUAUAAACAUAAGAAAUCAGAGUUAUGUAUAAUAAGAAGGUUGAUUUGAUUACCGUAGUCAUUAUAGACAGCACAAAUUCAAGAGAAGGUUAUAAAUGGAAAAGCAAAGAAAGAGAUAUCUUGAUAGAGAGACAUUAAGUGGUUAGGGAGAAACCUUGGAAUAGGGAAAUUCCCAGGAAUCCGUAAGCAUGAUCCCAGUUAAGAUGCCUACCAAUAGUGGAGAGGGUGCCUGAACUGGCCUUAUGUGUAAUCAGGUUGGUGAAUCCUCCAUCAUCAUACAGCCUAUAUCCAGUAAGUGAUAGAACCAGAUGCAGAAGAUCCGAAACCAAGCACCAGGCCAAGUUCCUGGAAUCCAGUUCAAAAGAGGGAGGAGGGAUUAUAUGAGCAAGGGAGAUCAAGAUCAUGACGGGGAAAUCUAAAGAGACAGCUGAACCGAGCUCAUGGGAACUCAUGAACUCUAGACCAACAGCCGUGGAGCCUCUGUGUGACUGAGCUAGCUUGUGGGAGCUCAUUCCCUAUGGUGGGAUGCCAUGCUCAGGCUUAAUCCAGGUGGGGAGGGGAUUGGUUUUACAUUAACU
ensembl:lncRNA